GUCCUACGGGAGGCAGCAGUGAGGAAUAUUGAGCAAUGGGCGAAAGCCUGACUCAGCAACGCCGCGUGGGCGAUGAAGGCCUUCGGGUUGUAAAGCCCUUUUCCAGGGGAAGAGGAAGGACGGUACCCUGGGAAUAAGGUUCGGCUAACUACGUGCCAGCAGCCGCGGUAAUACGUAGGAACCGAGCGUUAUCCGGAUUCACUGGGCGUAAAGCGCGUGUAGGCGGUUCUAUAAGUCGGGUGUGAAAGCUCUUGGCUUAACUAAGAGAGGUCGUCCGAUACUAUAGGGCUUGAGGUCGGGAGAGGGACGUGGAAUUCCCGGUGUAGUGGUGGAAUGCGUAGAGAUCGGGAGGAACAUCAGUGGCGAAGGCGACGUCCUGGCCCGCACCUGACGCUCAGACGCGAAAGCGUGGGUAGCGAACGGGAUUAGAUACCCCUGUAGUC
rnacentral:rRNA from 1 species